GUUCUUUAACCACAGAAAAGCAACGACCCGUAACUCCUUUAACCUUUUUAGAGGCGAAGUGUUUAAUUUUGAUUUAGAUCUUAACAUAAAUGUGAGUAUUCUUCUAGAAGCGAAGCUAAACUGUGUAUUAUUAUUAUAUUAUUAUUAUUAUUAUUUUACAGGUAAUUCUGUAAUCCCAAUUCAAUCUAUCAAACCCUAAAGAAAAUGGGGAAGAACGAUUUCCUUACACCGAAAGCGAUAGCGAAUCGAAUCAAAGCGAAAGGUCUUCAGAAACUUCGAUGGUAUUGUCAGAUGUGUCAAAAACAAUGUCGAGACGAGAACGGAUUCAAGUGCCACUGUAUGAGCGAAAGCCACCAACGGCAAAUGGAAGUCUUCGGUCAAAACCCUAACAGAAUCGUCGACGGCUAUUCUGAAGAAUUCGAAAACGAGUUCCUCGAUUCGAUGAAACGGAGCCAUAGGUUUUCUCGUGUCGCGGCGACCGUGAUUUACAAUGAGUAUAUUCAUGACAGGCACCAUAUUCAUAUGAAUUCGACACAGUGGGCGACGUUGACGGAGUUUGUUAAGCAUCUGGGGAGAACUGGAAAGUGUAAAGUCGAUGAGACUCCGAAAGGGUGGUUUAUGACUUAUAUUGAUAGGGAUUCGGAGACGAUUUUUAAGGAGAAUGCGAAGAGUAAGAGAGUCAGGGCGGAUUUAGCAGAGGAGGAGAAGCAGGAGAGGGAAAUUAAAAAGCAGAUUGAGAAGGCUGAAGAGUUUUUGACUGUUAAAAAUGACAGUGUGGAUAGUGGUGAAGUGCGGCCAGCGAAGGAGUUGAAAUUGGACAGCGGGGUGAAGGUUGGGUUUGCCCUUGGUUCGAAGAGUAAUAAUGUUGGGAAAGAGACAGGUGAGAGUUUUAGUUCUAGAUUGGUUUUUGAGGAAGUUGAGGAUAAGGAGAGGAAGAUGGGGAAAAAUAAGGAAGGUGGUAUUGGAGGUAAAAGUGGGAAAUCGGCGUUGGAGGAGUUGAUGAAAGAGGAAGAGAAGGCAAAGGAGAGGACUAAUAGAAAGGAUUAUUGGUUGUUUGAAGGGAUUAUCGUUAAGGUUAUGAGUAAGGCGUUGGCAGAGAAAGGGUAUUAUAAGCAGAAAGGGGUAGUGAGGAAAGUGAUUGAUAAGUAUGUUGCUGAAAUUGAGAUUCUUGAGAAUAAGCAUAAGUUGAGGGUUGAUCAGGAAGAGCUUGAGACUGUGAUUCCGCAGAUUGGGGGUUUGGUGAAAAUAGUGAAUGGGGCAUAUAGAGGUUCAAAUGCCAGGUUGUUGGGAGUGGAUACGGAGAAGUUUUGUGCCAAGGUGCAGAUAGAGAAGGGAAUUUAUGACGGGAGAGUGCUUAAGGCUGUUGAAUACGAGGAUAUUUGCAAACUUGCCUAAUGUGAUUUUAUUGAAGGAUCUUAUUUGCUUGCCCUACAACAACAAUGGAAAAUUCUACCUUCCAAGACAGCAGCUGACCUCCUUAUUUCUGCCAGGAUUAAUGACAGGCCCAUCAUCCUUUAACCACAAGAAAAUCCUUAUGGAUGGGAAUUUGGAGCACUGAACUGUAGUGCUGGGGGAACUGAGUCCACAAAUUUCCCACCAUACAGCUUUUUUUCCGGGAAUAAUAGGUCCUUUGUCUUCCCUAUUUGAAAACUUGGGUACCAUUUUUUUUGUUACAAGGGAGAUUGAUUGUCCACCCAGGUCAGACAUACUUUAUUCUACUGGUGCUUCCUCUAAUCAAAACGCAUCAUAGAGACAUUUUUGCUCCCUGAUUAAGUCAUUAAACAUCUCGAAUGUGUUUAGCAUUGUGCUGAUUAUUGAAACUUCCUACAUUGCUUACUACGUGGACCGCCUACAUUGAACCCUGUUAAUGUUUUAGUGGCCUUUAAGUGAAGUAUGGCUUUGGCGCUGGUUUGGUUUUUCAAGUCCUGAAGUUUUCCAUGUCUUUCUUGAAGAAUUUUUGCUGUCCUUAUUUCAAAUGGUGGCUUAUAAAAUCGUGGUUUCUCUCUAAAAAUGGUCACUUGUUCAGAUUACAUGACCAAGGUCAUCAGUGGUUAGGUUUCACAUUUCAAAACAUUGUUGCAGGCUAUGUUUCUUCUACCCAGACCAGACAUGCUUUAUGCUUCUGGUGCCUCCACUGCUUCAAAUGCAUCAUUUGUACUUUUUUACACCUUGAUUAGCCACAUAACCUUGCUCUCAAAUGUGUCUAGGAUUGUUCUCAUUAUUGAAACUUCUUACUUUGCUUGAUAUGUGAACUACCCUCUUUGCACCCUGUUAGUGGUGACCUUCAAAAGAAUAUCAACUUUCGCACUGUCCAGCUGAAGUUAUAAUUCCAUGUCUUUCUUGAGGAAUUUUUGCUGUCCAGAUGCACAUGGUGGCUUAUCAAAUCCCAUACAGGCCUCUCUUUAAUAUUGUGACUUGUGCAGAUUACACAACUGAGAUCAUCUCUGGAUAAGUUUCACAUUGCAAAACAGACUGUUGUAGCCAAUGUUUUUCUUGUCGUUACAAGGGAGAGCAAAUCAUCCAAACAGGCCAGACAUGCUUAAUGCUUCUAGUGCUUCCACUACUUCAAAUGCAUCAUAGAGACAUUUUGCGCUCUGAUUUAGCCAUGUAACCUUGCUCUCAAAUGCUUUUAGGAUUGUGCUGAUUAUUGGAACUUCCUACAUUGCUUGAUGAAAAGCGGAGGUAGGCCUGGUGAGGUUGUUUGGAGGAUGUGACAAUUAAGAGGAUGAGAUUUCUUUUGCCAAGAUGUAGCGAGUUUAGGUAGGUAACAGAUAGGGUUCUCCGUACUCCCAGCACCCUGUUGAUGGUUCCAAGCAUCAAGCACAGAAAUGUGCUUUGGUUAUCAAAUUCAUCUGUUUUCUGCGAUCUCAUUCAAUUCCUAUAAAGUUUAGAGGCCUAGUGGAUGUGAUCAUUGUUUUUUUUUUUUUUUUCCUGAGUGUUGAACAUAAAUGUCUUGAUCUAUAACAGUGUUAAGUUGCACUCCCGAUGCUGACCAAUAUCUGAUUGGAUGGUGAGAAUUAGCUAUUCACACAGAAUUAGCUAUUCAAACAGAAUCUCAUUAUCGUGAUUUUUAAUUCUUAGAUUGAGAGCACUUGUCCAUGACAGUGGAAAAAAGUUCAAAAAUUUCAUCCCACAAGUUUGAAUGACUUUUUCUUCUUCUUUAUUCUCUCAUAUAUUUACCAUUCAUAAUCAAAAUAAUGUUCUUUCCUUCAGUUAUUAUAUGGCUCUAAGUUGCUAUACUAUACUCUAAGGGAAAUUUGUAAUACUGAUGCAUAUGGGCAACUACAAAUGUUCCAAUACUGGGUUCUAUGUGAUUGAAAUAUUUAAAAGAUUUAGUGGAUGAACACUGAUCCCUCACCCUCUUAAAUUGCGCAAAAAGUGGGAAAUGGUGAUUGGAAAAGUUGAUGGGGGAGGACAUUAAGGCAUGAUGAGAUAAUAGGAAGGACUUUAAGUUGUGUAAAGAUGCUGUUGCUAAGGUGAUGAGAUUGAUGGCAGAGUGGUACCACAAGCAGAAGGGGUAAUGAGGAAAAAGUUCCAAAAGGUACAUGAUACAAAGUGAAGCUAUUGAUCAGGAAGUGCUUGAGUUGUGGUUCUGCUGAUUGGAGAGAGGGUCCAGUUCGAGGUUGUUAGGAGUGGUUGAAAAUUAAGUUUUGUGCCAAGGUGCAGAUAGAGAAGGGGAUUUUAGCACGUGAGAAUGCUCAAGACAGAGCAUGAGGGUAUACACAGACUUGCGUAGUGAGUUUAAUGCAUAUUUUACUUUCGUGGCUGCACUGGCUUUCUAAGAUUGUUGUAAUUUUUAGUCUCCUCUGGCAUAUGUGAUGCUCAUUUUAUGGUUUUGUAUCUCUCCAGAUUUGAUGAUGACUCAGAAGAAUGUUUAUUGAAGAAUGCUUCUAUUAUCACCAUAAAAAUUGCAUGUAAGAUGAUAACUUGAAGUUCUGGAAUUGUCUGUGAUUGGAAAUUUUUCCGAGUAUGAUUACUGAUUGAUUUGUAACACAUUGACCUUAAGAAUUAUGAUACUUGACUGAUAGACAUGCAGUUGAACAACACCCACUAGUCAGGUUGCCAAGUAGUAUGAGUAAUUUUUGAUAGAGAGAAAGAAGCAGAAAUAAAAUGGUGAAUCUUCUGAAGGUUUUCCCCCCUGAGGUCAGAAAGAAACAGUUGAGAAUGAUAUUCUUAAGAGGCAAAAUCCAUAAAAGAAAGUUCUGGAGAGUUUUCUUUAGGUUUUCCCUGUAAAUUGCAGAUUGUAAAUCACUAGUGGAAACUAUUCAUUUAAGAAGCUAAAGCUAGAGAAUGUCAUUUGCAUUCCUUUUUAUCUUUGGUCGUGUUGUUUUACAGACGCGGUCUGUGAAGGGGGAGCGGGGAGCUUGUUAUAGUUGAGAGAUGUUACCCUUCCAAUUUUUCAGAGGAAGAUGGUCUUUGAAAUCCCUGUUCAACUCAUUUUUUCUUCUCCAACUUUGGUCCUGGGCUUAUGAAAGCGGCUACCAGGAUCCAAGCCACCAAGAUCUGGAAAACUUUCCCAAAAGAAGCUUUGCAUCAGUUAGUAUAAAGAUUAGGAAAAAAAAAAAGUUUUCCUGGAAUUGCUCUUAGAAUAGGCUGCAACUGGUGCUCAAAAUGCUGUGUUCUUGGAAUAGGCUGCAGCUGUUGCUAAAAAAUGCUUGAGUUCUUUGAAUGGUGAGGGAAAAAUAUAGCUGUUGCUUCAUGUUGGGUGUUAGUUGUAAUCUUGACAGCACCAUCAAGUGUUUGGAAAGAAGAAUUAUAGCUGCUGAUUCAUGUUGUGUGUUUUGCUGUAAUCUUGUUGCCACCAUUAAUGCCCCUGUAAGAUGUCAACUAUUCUUGGUUUUUCCUUCUGUACAAAUUGAACGUAGAAGUGCAUCGUAAAAGGUUUUUGUUCCUCAAACAUGAUAUGAUUUGUCUUAUGUCUGCAAUGUUACUUGAUUUAGAGUUGUUCAAUGAAAAUGAAAUAACUUGUUUCUACCGAA